GCCUCUGUGGUGGAAUUGGUAGACACGAUAGACUCAAAAUCUAUUGCCCAAAGCAUGCCGGUUCGAGUCCGGCCAGGGGUACCA
rnacentral:tRNA from 1 species